rnacentral:rRNA from 1 species
GGAAUAUUGCACAAUGGGCGCAAGCCUGAUGCAGCCAUGCCGCGUGUAUGAAGAAGGCCUUCGGGUUGUAAAGUACUUUCAGCGGGGAGGAAGGGAGUAAAGUUAAUACCUUUGCUCAUUGACGUUACCCGCAGAAGAAGCACCGGCUAACUCCGUGCCAGCAGCCGCGGUAAUACGGAGGGUGCAAGCGUUAAUCGGAAUUACUGGGCGUAAAGCGCACGCAGGCGGUUUGUUAAGUCAGAUGUGAAAUCCCCGGGCUCAACCUGGGAACUGCAUCUGAUACUGG